rnacentral:rRNA from 1 species
UACGUAGGGGGCAAGCGUUGUCCGGAUUUAUUGGGCGUAAAGAGCGUGUAGGCGGCUUGGUAGGUCUGCUGUGAAAACUCGAGGCUCAACCUCGAGCUGUCGGCGGAAACCACUUGGCUAGAGUCCGGAAGAGGAGAGUGGAAUUCCUGGUGUAGCGGUGAAAUGCGCAGAUAUCAGGAGGAACACCGAUGGCGAAGGCAGUGGUCUGGGCCGGUACUGACGCUGAAUAGCGAAAGCGUGGGGAGCGAACAGG